GGUAGCCACGCCCUCGGCCGACCAGAGUUUGGGGCGUCGCUAUGGAGACUCCGACAGUGGUCUGCCGAGCCGGCUGCCCCCGGAACGCUGGGCAGGCUUCGUCCAAGCUGGAUCCCGGUGCCCCUGAGAUGGAGAAGAGGCUGCUGCAGGUUAAGGACGCCUUCCAGCUGGCGCAGCAGCAGCGCCAGACCCAGGCGAAGGGGCUGGCGGCGCUGAACCGCACCUACCACCCGAGGAGCAUGGCACCGGGGCCCCCGUCGCCCCUCCUCGCCUACCCUAGUGAGCACGCUGAUUUUUGUCAGUCUUUCCUAGUGCACCAGCAGCACCACCGCUCAGCCUCCUAGUGUGCUUGCUGUCUUCUCAGCUCUGGUAAGUGAAACUCUACUAUGUACAUUAUUUCUAUUUUAUACAGGUUGUAUGUUUAUCAUCUCCUUCCUGGUUUUACUAUCUGUUAGUGUUAGGUUAGGUCUUGUGCGUUAUUUGGUCUGAUUUGGUAGGUUAUUUUUGGGGUGUAGAAGCGCUUCGACUUUCCCCAAAUUAAUGGUAACUGCUUCUUCACUUAAGACUAUUUUGGCUUACAAAAGUUUUCAUAAGAACACUCUACUUUUUGAUAAGGGGGAAAAUCUGUCUUCUUCUUCUUCUUAUUUUUAGGGCCUUAACCUGCAGUGUAGGGAAGUUCCCAGGCUAGGGGGCGAAUCAGCACUGCAGCUGCUGGCCUGCACCACAGCUACAGCAACACCAGAUCGGAGCUGCACCUGUGACCUAUGCUGCAACUUGCAGCAAUGCUGGAUCCUUAACCCACUGAGCGAGGCUAGGGAUGGAACCUGCAUUCCCAUGGAUACUACGUUGGGUUCUUAACCUGCUGAGCCACAGUGGGAACUCUGAAAACCUGUCUUUAUUGCCUUUUAUUAUAAUUUAAUUUAAGAAACAGAAAAAAGUUAGAUAUAGAAAUUUUAAUUUCCACUCUUAAGAUGUCACAUGACUUUGACAAAGUCAAAAAGCAUUUAUUUCUUUACCUGAAGUUACUACAUUUUUUACUUGCAGGAUUUCAAAAAGUUCCUUCAGUAUUCUCUGCUUUGUUCUGCACUUUGCUUUUUCCACUUAACAGUAUGUUCUGAAUAUCCCUCCUUAUCAUAAUUUAAUUAAACGUCUUCAUUCUUUCUUUUCCCAGUUGUCAUAUAUUCCAUUUUGUGUGUAUAUACUAAUUUAUAAUGAAUCCACUAUAGAUGGACACUUGUGUUAUUUCUUUGGAUAUUAGGAACAAUACUUUAAUGAAUAAAUGCCAUUUCUUACAUUUGCA
rnacentral:lncRNA from 1 species